GCAACCACAAAGUUUCCAAAGUUUGGAAAGUUCUUCCAAAACAGGAUUGUUUCUCUGCAUGGAUUGUUGUAACUUAAUUGUUGAUUUAUGAUUAAUUUGGUUAAAGGGCAGAACGGUCUGUGCUGUUAAUGUUCAAAGUUGAUACCGUCAGAAAAAAGAAAGUCCCGUGCGUAAAAGUCUGAGAUGCAAGAAAACCGAUUUUAGCAGCAACACAAGCCAAAAAUAAAAUAGGAAAGACCCAUUUUCCGUGUAUCACUCGAAUGCAGCAUCAGGACAAUAAAUUCGUAGGAUAUGACAUCUUUUGUUCAACUUAACCCUUCAUCAUCCAAACAGGUCUGCUGGGAGUUCGGUGCGUAACGCGUAAUGUGACGGUUUUUCUUUGGUAACAUUUUGGACUGAACAACGUGGGUCAGAUUGUUACCGAUUUACCAUAUCUACAUUUCAUUAAAUCUUUGAAGUCAUCGAAUUGCUCACUUUUAUCACUUCCUUGGCAGCCUGCAUCAUGGAUCGCCAUGACCAGUCAACAUAAAACUGUUCCUGGACAGGACAUCUCCCUCUGCUGGUGACUACCUGCUGUUAUGGAAAGAUGAGGUGAUCACUACAUAAUAGCCAUGCCGGGAAAAAAUGCUGAAGUGAUGCCGGUGCAGUGUGUCCUGCCAGAAUCAACAUAACCUGCACCGCCCUUCACAAAGAGUCCAAAACUGGACUGUAAUGUUGAGGUACUUGUACUUGACUUGAGUGAUUCCAUUUUAUGCUACUUUACACUUCUACUGCACUACAUCUUGGAAGCAAAUAUUGUACUUUUUACUCCACUACAUUUAUCUGACAGCUUUAGUUACUUUGCAAAUUCAGAUUAUUAAUAAGAAAUAUAAUCAACUAAUAUAUGAUACAUUAUCAUAGGUUAAAAUACACAGCAGUAUUUUAAAUAUUUCUAAUCAGCUCCACCUUUACCAUCUACAACAUUAAAGUGAUGUACACAUUAUUGCAUUAAAUAUAUAAUCCAGUAAUAAAAUAGCCUAUAUAUGAUUCUGAAAAGGACAUUCCGCAUAAUGAGUAUUUUCACUUUUGGUACUUUGAGUAUAUUGUGAUACUCAUUUAUGUACUUUUACAUAAAUAUCU